UGGGGAAUCUUGCGCAAUGGGCGAAAGCCUGACGCAGCCAUGCCGCGUGAAUGAUGAAGGUCUUAGGAUUGUAAAAUUCUUUCAGCGGGGACGAUAAUGACGGUACCCGCAGAAGAAGCCCCGGCUAACUUCGUGCCAGCAGCCGCGGUAAUACGAAGGGGGCUAGCGUUGCUCGGAAUUACUGGGCGUAAAGGGCGCGUAGGCGGACAGUUAAGUCAGAGGUGAAAGCCCAGGGCUCAACCCUGGAAUUGCCUUUGAUACUGGCUGUCUUGAGUACGGGAGAGGUGUGUGGAACUCCGAGUGUAGAGGUGAAAUUCGUAGAUAUUCGGAAGAACACCAGUGGCGAAGGCGACACACUGGCCCGUUACUGACGCUGAGGCGCGAAAGCGUGGGGAGCAAACAGGAUUAGAUACCCUGGUAGUCCACGCUGUAAACGAUGAGUGCUAGUUGUCGGCAUGCAUGCAUGUCGGUGACGCAGCUAACGCAUUAAGCACUCCGCCUGGGGAGUACGGUCGCAAGAUA
rnacentral:rRNA from 1 species